rnacentral:lncRNA from 1 species
GCACUAUUGAAAAUCAGGUGUGUUAUACUUUAAAGAAUAGUAAAAAAGUAUAAUAAUGCCUUAUAAUUAAGAAAUGGUCAUUUGAUGUACGUGAAAAUAGAGAUAUCUUAGAAAGUGGCUAAAAAUUGCUGAUAUUUAAUUCUGUAGUGUCUUUAACCUAAAAAAGCUAAAUUUUCCAUAUAAUGUUGACUGAAUCUUAAUAAUUUCCUAAUAUUAAAUAUUAUUCACUUUCACAUUUUUCUCCUCAUACCAUUUUUCUUAUGAUAAAAUUAAUAUAGUUUUAAAACAGAAAUAAUACUAGAAUUUCAGUUACACAGUAUUAACUAAAAAUCUGAAUGUUUAGAGGUAGAUUUCUGUAUGAUAUUGAUUCUGAAUGCCACCCAAAGUGAGUUGUCCUCUUUAUUUCUAUUGUUUUUAUGAUUAUUUGAAUUCUGUGGAUGUUCUGAUGAUAAAUGAGAGA